GGGUCCCGAUUCAUUAUGUACACAGCAGAGCACCUACUAUCUGUAAAGAAUUACUGUGCCAGACCUUGAGGAAACACAAGAUACAGUCCUCACCCUUAAGGGGCUUACAGUCGGGGGAGAGCGGGAGAAUCCAGUAAUUACUGUGACACGGUGAAGAGCUACAACAGAGACAUACACACAACACAGAGGAAG